CUGUCGGCGUGCUUAACACAUGCAAGUCGAACGGAAAGGCCCUGCUUUUGUGGGGUGCUCGAGUGGCGAACGGGUGAGUAACACGUGAGUAACCUGCCCUUGACUUUGGGAUAACUUCAGGAAACUGGGGCUAAUACCGGAUAGGAGCUCCUGCUGCAUGGUGGGGGUUGGAAAGUUUCGGCGGUUGGGGAUGGACUCGCGGCUUAUCAGCUUGUUGGUGGGGUAGUGGCUUACCAAGGCUUUGACGGGUAGCCGGCCUGAGAGGGUGACCGGCCACAUUGGGACUGAGAUACGGCCCAGACUCCUACGGGAGGCAGCAGUGGGGAAUAUUGCACAAUGGGCGGAAGCCUGAUGCAGCAACGCCGCGUGCGGGAUGACGGCCUUCGGGUUGUAAACCGCUUUCGCCUGUGACGAAGCGUGAGUGACGGUAAUGGGUAAAGAAGCACCGGCUAACUACGUGCCAGCAGCCGCGGUGAUACGUAGGGUGCGAGCGUUGUCCGGAUUUAUUGGGCGUAAAGGGCUCGUAGGUGGUUGAUCGCGUCGGAAGUGUAAUCUUGGGGCUUAACCCUGAGCGUGCUUUCGAUACGGGUUGACUUGAGGAAGGUAGGGGAGAAUGGAAUUCCUGGUGGAGCGGUGGAAUGCGCAGAUAUCAGGAGGAACACCAGUGGCGAAGGCGGUUCUCUGGGCCUUUCCUGACGCUGAGGAGCGAAAGCGUGGGGAGCGAACAGGCUUAGAUACCCUGGUAGUCCACGCUGUAAACGGUGGGUACUAGGUGUGGGGUCCAUUCCACGGGUUCCGUGCCGUAGCUAACGCUUUAAGUACCCCGCCUGGGGAGUACGGCCGCAAGGCUAAAACUCAAAGGAAUUGACGGGGCCCCGCACAAGCGGCGGAGCAUGCGGAUUAAUUCGAUGCAACGCGUAGAACCUUACCUGGGUUUGACAUGGAUCGGGAGUGCUCAGAGAUGGGUGUGCCUCUUUUGGGGUCGGUUCACAGGUGGUGCAUGGCUGUCGUCAGCUCGUGUCGUGAGAUGUUGGGUUAAGUCCCGCAACGAGCGCAACCCUUGUUCACUGUUGCCAGCACGUUAUGGUGGGGACUCAGUGGAGACCGCCGGGGUCAACUCGGAGGAAGGUGGGGAUGACGUCAAGUCAUCAUGCCCCUUAUGUCCAGGGCUUCACGCAUGCUACAAUGGCUGGUACAGAGAGUGGCGAGCCUGUGAGGGUGAGCGAAUCUCGGAAAGCCGGUCUCAGUUCGGAUUGGGGUCUGCAACUCGACCUCAUGAAGUCGGAGUCGCUAGUAAUCGCAGAUCAGCAACGCUGCGGUGAAUACGUUCCCGGGGCUUGUACACACCGCCCGUCAAGUCAUGAAAGUUGGUAACACCCGAAGCCGGUGGCCUAACCGUUGUGGGGGAGCCGUCGAAGGUGGGACUGGUGAUUAG
rnacentral:rRNA from 1 species